AGCAGUUUUACAAUGUAGGAAAAUUUAAUACAUACUAUAUAAACAACAUAUUUACAUCAGAAAUCACUAGGACAGUGGCAUUUUUUCACAAAUAUAAAUUAAUAGUAAUUACUGUUUUAGUUAACAGGUCUUAAAAGUCCACAAUUUUACAAGAAAGAGAAACCGUCUGUCCCCACACGACUGGGGGCAAAUGGACUACAGCCGUCUGGAUCGUUGGCACCGAUCUCCUACCUCGAUCACAGUAAGAUCUCAGACAGUCAGAAGCUCCAUGUGUACUGGGCACUAGAUCAACAAUUCUUGUUGACCAUAGGUUUUGGUCUGUAGAAUUUCCGGGUCAUAGUGUAAAUUCAUAACUGAAUCAGGUUUGCACCACACUUCCUGAUGAAAAUUUUCAGACAUCAGGCUAGAAUGUACUUAACUUUAAAAUGCAGCAAGAGGUGAGAAGUUUUCACUUUUCCCAUUAAAAAGGCUUUAAGGAAUGACUGGCUAGAGGAUAAAAUGGAGAUAUGGAAGGUAGGAGGAAGGAAAAGCAUUUAAAGAUAUUGCCAUCAAUCCUCACAGAGUGCUCAACUGUUUCCCCUUUGGACUUUGAAUGCUUUAAAAAUUGUUUUUGGUUUUAUAUUAUCACUGAAGACUCUAUCAUUUCAGCUACUAGUACUUUUUGUUUACAUUCAGGUACUGUUUUUAAUGGGUGUGAUGUUAUUUUUCUUUCUCUUUAGCAUCCGGGCCAAAGAAAUCUCUAAAUAUAUCUCCCCAAUCUGGGGUCCUGAGAACUCCUGAGGUUCCCAUAGUAAUUCCUCUUUUCUCCAAACAGAGACAUAACUUCCAUCCAUGCAUUAUUUUUUUCUUUAAAUAUACCAUUUUGUCACAAUGAUUUUGAUUUUGAAGAAGGAAACACCUUUCUCCUUACUCCCUCCUAGACUUAGUUCAGAUGCCAAACAUGUAUAAGAGUAUUUGGGAUACUGUAGUUAAACAAUCAAUUUAACACUGAUCUGGCCAGUAUUGCCUUUUGCUACAUCUUAUGGCACUAAAAGUCUUGACAAAAACAUUUCAUGAAUGUGAACAAUGUGAAGUUGUUUUUUCUCCUCAUGAUGAGACAUCUUUGUUGCCUAACAUUCCUUGCCUAACUAGUUCAAUGAAAUCAAAUAUUGGUGAAUAUCCAAAAAAAAGUAUAUUCUCCAACCAUCCACCCAUACCUUCAUUAAAGAUUACUGAAAGCUGUAGGAAAACCCAUAAUCUGAAUUCCCAAAGGGGAAAAAUGUACCAGGGCUCAAUCCCUCACUAGCUCACCAUUCUAUAUCAGCUGAGAUUAAAAGGAGCUUUCUUAAUACUUUCUGGUUUGCCUUGGGUAAGACAAACAUGUGGAUGGCGCCAAAACCAUUAGCAGAGCUAAGGUUUUUUGUUUCCACAGCACUUUGUGGCUUAUAAAGGGACAGAAUAUUUCCCAAUUUCCUCAGUUAUAUCUGCUCUAAAUCUUUGAUAGGAUUAUUUCUGAUAUGUGCAAUAUGACACCUUUGGGUGCUUGGCCCCAAUGCUUCCACUGUGAAAGUCCAAGUUGAAGAAUCAAAAGCACUAUGAAGGGGAAAAAAAAAAAAUUAAAGAAAAACUGCCCACCAAAAAUUGCUGCAUAGCCAACCACAGAAGCUUCUUAAAUUUUCUGUGCCUCUCAUGAUGACCUGGAUCGUUGACUGUUUCCAUGAUAUGUUUAGUUUAGCAUGGAGCAAUGGACCACGAAACCAUUUCUGCUCAAGUGGUGUUAAACAAUAGAGGCAUUUCUUGGGAGUGUCU
ensembl:lncRNA